AACGAACGCUGGCGGCAGGCCUAACACAUGCAAGUCGAACGCUCCGCAAGGAGAGUGGCAGACGGGUGAGUAACACGUGGGAAUCUUCCUAUCGGUACGGAAUAGCUCAGGGAAACUUGGGGUAAUACCGUAUACGCCCUAACGGGGAAAGAUUUAUCGCCGAUAGAUGAGCCCGCGUCUGAUUAGCUAGUUGGUGAGGUAACGGCUCACCAAGGCGACGAUCAGUAGCUGGUCUGAGAGGAUGACCAGCCACACUGGGACUGAGACACGGCCCAGACUCCUACGGGAGGCAGCAGGGGGGAAUAUUGGACAAUGGGCGCAAGCCUGAUCCAGCCAUGCCGCGUGAGUGACGAAGGUCUUCGGAUUGUAAAGCUCUUUUGGCGGGGACGAUAAUGACGGUACCCGCAGAAUAAGCCCCGGCUAACUUCGUGCCAGCCGCCGCCGUAA
rnacentral:rRNA from 1 species